GAGAAGAUGGCUGAGUGGUUUAAAGCAACAAUUUGCUAAAUUGUUUAAUAAAAUACUUAUUAACAUAGGUUCGAAUCCUAUUCUUCUCC
rnacentral:tRNA from 1 species